GGAAAGGGGCCUCGUGGAGGUUAUGAAAUCCAGCAGGUCAUGGAAGGAGAAACGAUUGACAAUCCAGACGGGAUGGAGGCAUCAGCACUCCUGGUUUGGGGGACUUAGGAUUCAGACUGGGACCUAUGCCAUUGGUUUCCCUGGUUCUCAGGCCUCUGGGCUUCAUUGGACUGGAACUAUACUACCAGUUUUCCUGGGUCUUCAGCUUGCAGAUGGCAGAUUGUGGAACUUCUCAGUCUUCAUAAUUGUGUG
rnacentral:lncRNA from 10 species